CAAUCCAGCUCCAUUCGGGAAAAAUCGCUCUCUCUAAACUGAUGGUUCCUGCUGAGUGGUAGAAAGGGAAAUUAGGUUUUUGAUUUUGAGAAGCAAUCUUCUGGGUUUUGACAUUUAAGGCAUAAACUACUCAUUGAAAUGCAUUUGUUUCCGAUUAUCUGGUCUUAGCCACAUCUUAAUUAUUCGCAAAUUUCUAGCCCCAAAUUUCAUUCUGUUCUUAUUCGAAUCGAUAUCUGAGAAAGAGUAUGUCCAUGUCAUUAACCCAUCUUUCUUGGUGGUUGUGGAGUGGAAAACACCAAGAGCCCAAAAGACUCUCCAAUGGAUCUUCUUUAAAUUCUUUUCAAGAUUCAGGUUUGUGGGAGUCGGAUGCUUUGAAAUUCCCUUUAGUUAAGGGGCUUCUUCGUUGACAUUUCAAUUUUUUUUUUCUCCCAAAACCUCUUGAUUCUUUGAAUCUCAAAGUCUCUCAAUCUCCCGAACCUCGAUCCACGCAGAUCUUUGAUUUCUGCUAAUUUUUUUUUUUUUUUUUUGUCUUCGUUGAAUGUUCAACCUAGGGUUUUGAUUUUGUCUGUUCCAGUUAUUGCUUCGAUCUCCUGGAUCUCAGUUCCGAAUUUACCUAGGGUUUGAUCGUUUGAUUGUUGGAUUGUUUGGUUGAUCAUGGAGGCGAUCGACGAGCUCGUGCAAUUGUCAGGGUCUAUGCGCCAGGUCACGGCGCUGCUGGCAGAUGAAGAUGCGGACAAGAAUUUGAGUUCCAGUUCUUCUCGCAGGGGUUCAACUUUUCUUAACGUUGUUGCUCUUGGAAAUGUCGGACAUCCUGUUUAAUAGGACAUCCUGUUUAAUGAACCCCAUCUACAAACGAUGGCCAAUGAUGAGCAUCUUCGCAAGGCCUUCUCCUACUUUGAUAGGAAUGGUAAUGGCUAUAUUGAGCGAGAUGAGCUUCGGGAUGCCUUGAUGGAAGAUGGAGCAGAUGAUUGUACAGAUGUAGCAAAUGACAUCUUCCAAGAAGUGGACACGGACAAAAAUGGGUGAAUUAGUUAUGAUGAAUUUGUGGCUAUGAUGAAAACUGGAACAGAUUGGAGAAAGGCUUCUAGGCAUUAUUCAAGAGGGAGAUUCAACAGUCUAAGCAUUAAGCUGAUAAAGGAUGGUUCUCUAAACUUGGGAAAUGAGUAACAUAUACACAAGGUUGGUCUUUUGUUCAUCCACACAAGAAAAGUACUGGAUCAUUCCCAAUUUAUCUUGGACUUGCUUUCUUUUGUGAUUAUUUGUUGGGGGGCUAUUGGUUGAAUGGGGUCCCUUCUGAUUACUGGCUUACAAGGGAUCAUGGAGGGGUGAGUACAUCUUAUUCAUGUCUUCUUCAUAUGUUAAUUGAGUAAAACAUGAGGCCUUGUAGCUAUGGUACGGCAUGUAUGGUUCUGUCCUUUUACCACUUCAACCUUCUGUGGUCGUUUCUGGUUGGCGACAUGAAAUUGGUGAACUCUGUGGUUCUGUAGUAUAUCCUUGUCAAAUAAAUAUUGUCUUGUAGCGUAUGUGUUGUGCUCUAACAUGUAUAUAUAGGAAAAGUGACAUAUGCUUGUCCAGGAUGCAUCACACUGUCAAGGGACAUGUUGCAUACAUUUUGGCUUGGUUUUGUGCAA